GGGACCAUGGGGGAUCGGACCCACUACCUUCGCGUUAUUAGCACGAGGCUGUAACCAACUGAGCUAAUGGGUC